UGUAUUUUAGUUCGGAUUUUUUUUGGCCCACAAAAUUUAAUCUAGUUAGGUUUUGGCCUUUUUCCCGAUCAGAAGAUGUAUUUAGAUGACUUUGGUGAUAAAAAUCUGAAGUGGGCUAAGACAAAUAUUCUCUUCUGGGCUUAGUAGCAAUGGGACCUAAUUUUUUAUAUUAAAAACAUUUCCUGAAAAACCCAUUGGAUUGAAACCACGUAUAAGGGAAAAAAAGUACAAAUGAUCACGAACCCAUUUGUCUAGCUUCUUGGAAAUGCGUGGAUCAAAGAUAGAUGUUGGGUUAUUUCAUUUCUCCUUCUUUGUUGGAUUGAAAGCUUGUUGAAUUAUUUCUCUUGGUGCUUCUUUGAGCUUCUUUGCUUUGGCUCGAGUCAUAGAUUUAAAUAGAACAAGCAAUGCUCCAUUAUGUAGCUCAUCCGCUGGUACAAGCUCUACUUCAGGCACUGGUGCAAGCUCCAUUUUAUUAAUGCUGGCCAUGAUCAUAUUAUUUCCCUCCUCUUGAAAAAGAUUUGUCCUCAAAUCUGGAUCAUCUUUGAUACUGCUCAGUUCUUAUAUGCUCUCAUGGUUCGUAAACAAGUCGAACAACAAACUUCUUAUGCCACAAGUUAUACCACCACGUUUUUGGUGUAUGAACCAUCAUAUCUUCAGCUUGUAUACCCUGUGCACUUACAACAAAGACUUGAAACACAAGAUUAUACGUGCACAAGACAUACUUCUCUGAUUCAGUAAACAAUUUAUCUUUUAGAACAUCUAAGACAAGUUCCAAUUGCUCAAUGUGAUCAUCAAAGAAGUUUUUGUAGUCCAGAAUGUAAAAAUUCUCAGUGAAUGAUCUUAAAUCAUGUGAAACCUUUUUAGAUUUAUGGAAUGAAAUUCUGUGAGUUAUCUUAGAGAGUCUAUCAACCAGAAUCACAGAAUCUCUCAAUGAAUAAUCAAGCUCACACAAUUCAUCAAACAAAAAACCUUUAGUUCUAGAGAAUUUCUCAUACGCAAACUUCACACAAGAUGGAACCAAAACUUUAAAAUCAACCUUUAAAUCGAAAUGCUUCGUGUUGUGUUCAGACUUUAUCAGCUUAGCUUCAGGAAUAGGAAGUACUUCAUACCUUGGGGUUAAUGCAUCAGCGUCAACGUUUUUCUCACCUUGCCUGUUUUGGACAACAUAAAAAUAUGUCUCAGUGGGUGCUCCUGGGCCAAUGGCAAUCUGAUGCUAUCAACUCCAAAGAUCGGUGGUAAUCCUCUAGGGCUGUUGACUUCAAAAUCCUGCAAAACAGAAGUUACUCUACUCGGCAGCACCGGUUCUGGGUUAGUUAAACUCAUAAGAGUUUCUCUAUAAGCAAACUUUGUUCUUUUAACCUCACCAGACCUCACAAGAGAAUUAGUUUGCCUCACAGGUUUGCUCUCAAAGGAUUUUUGCUGGGUUUUUCUCAAACUCUCUUUCUCUUUGUGGUGAUUAGUUUUUAGGGGACCACUUACAGUUUCGUCUUCUUUUUGUUUCUGCUGGUUGGCCUUAGACUGCUCCCUUGGUGAUCUCUUUACUGCCAGGGGAUCGCCUUUAGCUGAUACCUCAACAUGUUUCUCCAAAGACGAAGGUGUUUCAGAAACCAUAGUUUCUUUCUCUGAUCUGAACUCUCCAUUGUCUAAGAGAAUCAUAGCUUUCGUGUUGGAGCAUUCUGUGGUAUAGUGCCCUCUCUCUUGGCACAAAACAACAUUUCACUUCAAAAGAUCUUGAUGUGGAAGCCUUGGCUUUGACUUUAGCGCCUAACUUUGAAGUGUAAGGCUUAGAAUCUUCCUUUGGCUGAGCAAUACACGUCCCCACUCUUGAUCUAUCAUUGGGUGCUCUGGCAUUAUAAGUUGAUCUGAGUUGAUCAAACUUCUCCUCCCUUUGAUAACUUGAUCUGGUCGUAGAUGUCUUAGUUUUCUUUGACAAUAGACCAAAAGACAUCUUUCCUGCAACAAGAACGAACUCAAGGUUUCUCUCAAGCGUUUAUCUCUCAAGGUGUUUGCACUCAACUCCUAAAAAGGAUCUCACACACAGAGUUUUCUCAAAAGUUCAUGUAGAACAAAUCCAAUCAAAUCUGAUGAUUACACAAACAACCACAAGUAGAUCUUCAGAUACAGAAAGAAAGAUUAAGAGAUAUUCGUUUUUUUUCUUUUUAUGAUUUUCGUUUUUUUUUUCUUUUUCUUUUCUUAUAACUUUCUUUUUUCUUUUUCUUUUGUUUCCAAUAUACUUUUUUUUGGAAUUUUCUGGGAUAAAUCGACUAGAAGAUAGAAAGAUAAGAAAUGAAUGAAGAAGGUGAAAAGAUGAGAAGAUGAUAUAUAGCGAUAGUUACUGAACUUCUAAGUGUGUUCUGAUACCACUUGAUAUGAUCCUCCCUGAAUCGUCACUUAAAAGGUUGUAAAAUGGAUAGAUGUUCUCCAAAUGAAUCUUAAGAUUCAAGUAAAGAAAUAGGUGGAUCAAAAAGUCCCACAGAAGUUACAGAAUAGCUUCUAUUUACCAACUUAUCUCCUUGGAUAUGACACACCAAGUCAAGACAAGAGUGAUCGGUUGGAUAUUAACACCUAACAAUUGGAUUGUUCACAAGGAACUAAAGAGAAGUUCUCUCAAAGUUUUUCUGAAGAAGAUCAAAGAGUUUGAUUGAAAAAUAAUAAAGUGAUGAUUAUUUCUCUGGUCUUACAAGAGCUUAUAAAGAAAAGAAAAGAGUAGACAAAGAUUUAUAUUCGGAUUACAAGAGUAAUAACUACUUAAGACCAAAAGAAAAGCUAAGGUUUGAAUGACUCUUGAGCUAGCUCUUGAACAACCUUUGAACUGAUUGCUUCUUUGACUCCUUGGUCGAAUUCUGAUGCUCAGAAACGAAUUGGGCUGAGUCUUUUAUUCACCUUUGGCUUGGUAGAGAGGCCUCCUGGAUGCCAAAUGUAAAUCUGCAAGCUCUCAAGCCAAUGGGGCUUAGAACUCUCCAAGUAUAGAACCAGCUCGACCCAUUCAGGUAAAUUGGGAGUAUCUUUGGGCUACGAUGUCCAUUUCCUAUGAUCUUGAUCUUGUUGGAACCAUACAAAACCAUUAAGAUUUCCCAAGUGGUUUCGUGUCGAGAUCAUUUCUGAGUUGCGCUGUGUAACACGAUCUUUGGCUUUAAUGCGUAACUGGGCUUUAAACAGAUCCUUCGCAUUGUAAAAUCCAUAUUUUCGAAGUCUGAAUUCGUUUUGAUUUGAAUCAAUUUUUUCCUAGUUAUUUGAUGGAUCAAGAUUCCAGAACAUGUCGGAUCAUAACUUAGUUACUUCUGGUUUACUCCGAAACCUUCAACGAAUGCGCAUAGGUCCAAAUUGAGUAGGCUCAAGUUCGCUUGACUUGAGAAGUGAAUAAGUCCUUCAUCUGAACUCCGAUUGAACUGAUUUCACUUCGAGGUGUGCUCUAGAUAAGGUGAGAAUGUAUUAGAAGUGGUCGUUUGGCUGGAAUAGUUGAGCUUAAACUUUAUUAGUGCUGAACAAGGCACAUGGGUCUUCUCCGGUAGCUUGAAGAUCAGAAGAUGUAUUUGGACGACUUUGGUUAUGAAAAUCUGAAGUGGGCUAAGACAAAUCUUCUCUUCUGGGCUUAAUAGCAAUGGGAACCAAUUUUCUGUAUUAAAAACAUUUCCUGGAAAACCCAUUGGGUGAAAACAAGGUAUAAAGGAAAAAAAGUACAAAUGGUCACAAACCCAUUUGUCUAGCUUGUUGGAAAUGC
rnacentral:lncRNA from 1 species